GCCUUCGUGGUGUAGUGGUCAGCACGCUGGACGCGUAAUGGAGAAGUCAGCGGUUCGAUUCCCGGCGAAGGCG
rnacentral:tRNA from 1 species